rnacentral:rRNA from 1 species
AUUGAACGCUGGCGGCAUGCCUUACACAUGCAAGUCGAACGGCAGCACGGGAGCAAUCCUGGUGGCGAGUGGCGAACGGGUGAGUAAUGUAUCGGAACGUACCUUUCAGUGGGGGAUAACGUAGCGAAAGUUACGCUAAUACCGCAUAUUCUGUGCGCAGGAAAGCAGGGGACCUUCCGGCCUUGCGCUGAUUGAGCGGCCGAUAUCAGAUUAGCUAGUUGGUGGGGUAAAGGCCCACCAAGGCGACGAUCUGUAGCGGGUCUGAGAGGAUGAUCCGCCACACUGGAACUGAGACACGGUCCAGACUCCUACGGGAGGCAGCAGUGGGGAAUUUUGGACAAUGGGGGCAACCCUGAUCCAGCCAUGCCGCGUGAGUGAAGAAGGCCUUCGGGUUGUAAAGCUCUUUCGGCCGGGAAGAAAUCGCAUGGGUUAAUACCCUGUGCGGAUGACGGUACCGGCAUAAGAAGCACCGGCUAACUACGUGCCAGCAGCCGCCGUAAUAC